UUCAGUUUUUACUGUCCCUAAAUAUGUGCUGGCUGUUUGUUUAAUAUUUCUGUUUAAAGUCAAGUCCUUCUGCAGACAAGACAACAUGUAGUAAUAAACUUUGACCAAGCUGUGGAUCUACUGCAUGCUUCUACUUCUCUGACGCCUGCCUGUUGUUGUGCAUGGUUUCCUUGAAAGUACAUUUAUGAUUUUUUGCUAUACAGCUCGUUCAAACACUUAGCUACCUUAUAUAAAAUUGUUCAAAGCGUUAAUCUAGUGCCUAAUAUUUUCCAAAUUGAUUUUUUAUAUAGGCGAAAUGAAGAACGCAACAUGGCAGUGUCAUCUUUGUUGUGACCGGGCUGUCGCGUUUUGGAGAAAACUGAUAGCUCCUUCUGAACAGCAGAAAGUUCAGGGUGCAACAACGCCGAAUAACCAUGGAAAGCAGCAGAGCCAGAAACAUGAAAUUGAAAAGCUCCUCACAUACACCAAAGAAACAAAUAUUUAGGCGACGCCACACACCACGCCACGUCUGUUACGUACUUCCGGUACUCCGAAACCUGAAUGCCGGUAGUGGCCGCGGCACCGACAAGCCUACGCCACGUGUAUCGCUGCACACCGCGCACUAUGGUAACGAUGCCAAUCCACCGGAAUAAACGCUUACUUCAGUGUUAUUUGUUUACAGAUUCAUUCGUAAAGGUGCCAGCAGUCAUGGAACUGAAACACAAGCCAUUGCGCAUGCCGUGUUCCAGCCUGCACACGCCGCCAACAGAAUUAUUAUUGGAUCCGAGAACCAAAGACGGGCUCGGCAGUCCCCGUUGUUUUCACCUCCGCGCUUGUCGAAACACUCGUGUCCUCACAUCAUAACCUACGGCUAGUUUUGGGACGGAUAUCUGGACAUCAAGGGAUGGGAGUCACUGAGCAAGCACAUUUGGUAAUGCACGUUGAUCCUACAUUGAGCGCCCGUCUUCGAUGGCGAAAUGCUCUUACCAGUGAAGGUUGUCGAGUUGCGCACCGCGAACAAUACAAAUCAAAUAGGCCCAUGAAUUCCCAAGGAUAAUCCUGACACCCUCUCACCCAUUUUCCCGUGCAAAUGCAUCACUCACCUGGCAAUCACAGGCCCUGACGUCACUAUCACAAUAAUUAUUGACAGUGAGCACAGUUCAUGUGAUUCCAUUUGUCAUAUUUGUGAACACUAGCGUAGCACGGUACACGGGAACUUGCAGUGUCGGUAAGCACCCUAAUCUGACACCAUACAGGUAUUAUCAACCACGCCAGUUUGCAAAUGCGUCUCUUACGCUUCGAGGAGCUAGGCAGCGCCAACCAAAAAUCUUCGCCACACCCUGUCGCUUCCUAUAGUGUGCCACGUCCACAAUCUCCAGAGGGCAGUCGCUCCCGUCCCAUUUACAGUAGCGGAGAGCGCCACAACGACAAGCGACGACUCGUAUUAGAAGUCACAUUAAUUUUUUUUCUGCGAAUGUCUCUUAUCAUUCAAGCUGCGCACAUAAAUUCGCC